GAGUUUGAUCAUGGCUCAGGACGAACGCUGGCGGCGUGCCUAAGACAUGCAAGUCGUGCGAUUCUCUGGAGCUUGCUCCAGAGGAUAGCGGCGGACGGGUGAGUAACGCGUAGGCAACCUGCCCACAGGACCGGGACAACAGGACGAAAGCCCUGCUAAUACCGGAUAGGCACCAGGCUCCGCAUGGAGCUCGGUGGAAAGGGGUAACCCACCUGUGGAUGGGCCUGCGUCCCAUUAGCUUGUUGGUGAGGUAACAGCCCACCAAGGCUUCGAUGGGUAGCCGACCUGAGAGGGUGACCGGCCACACUGGGACUGAGACACGGCCCAGACUCCUACGGGAGGCAGCAGUCGGGAAUUUUCCACAAUGGGCGAAAGCCUGAUGGAGCAACGCCGCGUGAGUGAGGAAGGUCUUCGGAUUGUAAAACUCUGUCCCGAGGGAAGAACACAAUGACGGUACCUCGGGAGGAAGCCCCGGCUAACUACGUGCCAGCAGCCGCGGUAAUACGUAGGGGGCAAGCGUUGUCCGGAGUUACUGGGCGUAAAGGGGCGUGUAGGCGGUUCGCUAAGUCGGGUGUGAAAAGUGCAGGGCUAAACCU
rnacentral:rRNA from 1 species